UACGAGGGGUGCUAGCGUUGUUCGGAAUUACUGGGCGUAAAGCGCGCGUAGGCGGACCUGCAAGUCGGGGGUGAAAGCCCGAGGCUCAACCUCGGAACUGCCUUCGAUACUGCGGGUCUCGAGUCCGGGAGAGGUGAGUGGAAUUCCUAGUGUAGAGGUGAAAUUCGUAGAUAUUAGGAAGAACACCAGUGGCGAAGGCGGCUCACUGGCUCGGUACUGACGCUGAGGCGCGAAAGCGUGGGGAGCAAACAGG
rnacentral:rRNA from 1 species